GAAACCCUGACGAAAGAGCACACACACACAUUCACACACAAAUGCACAUCAAAGCUAAAGACACAGUGUGGACGCUGGCGCCCAUCAAUGCACUGCAGCAGCUUACUGUAUAAAUCAGCAUCACAAGCACCCUAUAAUGUUGCCUAAAUUAGUAGAAGAGUGUUUGAUGUUAUCUUAAAAGAAAGACACACUUACAAUAUAAAGCAAUCAUAUUUCAUUCUUAUGUAAAUCUCUUUGGUUUAAUGGUGCAUUGUUGUGAUUUACAUGUUGCAUCUUCAUAACGUUUUAAUCAGUGUUCAUCCUGUAAGCCUGCGUCUGAAAAGGUGAGAUGAUGGAUUUAAUUAAGAUGACAGCGAGGGUGAUCUCAUUCAGUGCAGUUCAUUGAAUCUGAGAUGAGACUGAAGGAAAUAGAUACGGCUGAGAUCAUGAGUCAGUAGAGAAACAGUAAUUAACACUCAGCCCGAGGUGGCGAGGGACGUUUGUAUUGUAGACUUGACAGAAGAUAUACAAAUGCUGCACCAAGGGAGACGUCAGGAUUACAUUUUAGACACUGUACGCUUUUCUAUGUGUGUAUGACUGUGGGUGUUUGAGACUCACCAGCAGCGGGUCAGAGAAGUCUGGCAGUGGACCAAUCAAGAGUCCGGCCAGUGAGCAUCCCAGCAGCAGCACGGCACAACCCACCAUCACCGCUAACGGGUAGUCCACUAUCACCUGGGAAUAACUGCCAAAUAGAAAACCACAGAAGAAGAAGAAGACGUCAGUGAUACUGGCACACAGUACAGUCGGUGCUCAGGCAUACUUGGUGAUAGAGCUGGCAGGAGGAAGAGGGUCUGCCGAGGCUGCUGCAGCUGUCACAUAGCUCCCCUUCACACUGAAUGACUGUCAACUGGGCCUCGGCUGAACACUCGCUGUCAGGAGGGCACAGAGACAACGCCGGGAUGUCGCUGAGGAGAGGGGAAGACAGACAGGAGGAGACAAAGAUGGGUGAGAAAAGGAGACGAGAGGGUAAAUAUGAAAAUAUGGUUGCAGGACGGGAGAAGUGAUUGACAGGUAAGCAAGAAAGAAAGGAGCAAUAAAGUUCUUUUUAAAGGUGCAAAAGUUCAGUCAGACGUUUGUAAAUCUUAACAAUCCAUCCCUCCCACAUGUCAGGCUCUUGACUGCAUUCUUGGCUCCAUCUCAUAUUUAACGGAAAGUUGAGCGGGCCAAUGGAGCUAAUGAGCACGUCUCUUCAACGCUCUGGAUGCCAGUCAAUGUCAUGUCUUCAGACAUAUCCUCAACUGCCAAUCACACACACUCACACACACACACACACACACACACACACACACACGCACACACACACACACACACAAGGAAAAAAAGGACAAAAGCUCAGGCUGUAUGCAAGAGGCAAACUAUUAACCUUCCUAAAAAGAGAGCUACUGUAGGGCGUUAUUAAGGGUUUGCCUUCAAACCAGGAGAGGACAGAACAUGUGUCCUGUUUCUGAGCUGAAGGGGGUGGCAGGCCUCAGCUGUUUCCAGCCUUACUUUCAUGUUUGAAGCCCCUUGGCUGUUUGAUUUUUUUUUUUUAUAUAUGCAGCAGAGUGAGUGACAGGGUGACAUCCGUGACCCAGCAGGAGGUUGAUGACACUGAACAGACAGGUCAACUAGUGCAACUGUGAGCGAGAGACUGUAUAUCUGUCUAAGGCAACAAAAAAUAAGAGUAUAAAACUUCUUUAUAUGAUGAUAAAUUAUGUAAGACUUGAAAGUGCUAGCUCUUGUAGUGCAAAACUAGUGAUAUACAGUGUGAUAUCCUGGAUUAAGUCAUAAUAAAUGUGAUUACAAUUACAGUUGACAACAGCACAUUAACAUGUCUUGGUUGGUACAAACAGUGCAACAUAAUCAGGAAUUAAUGCUGUAAUAAUGUUGAAAUGACAUUUAUAAUAGAAAAAAAAAAUCAACAAUAGCAGAAAUCAUAUCCUGUGCAUAAUCCUAUUUAACACAGCUGGAUGAACAAUACUCCCAUCAGCCACAUGCAGGAGGGUUAAAAUUAGCCACGACUGUAAAUGUCAUUUAUUUUUCUAUACAGUAAGCAUCAAAGAAAUCCACAGACAAGAAAACAGCAAAACCCACCUUUGGCAAGCA